GUCUCUGUAGCUCAGUCGGUUCCAGCGCUGCACCGGAAUCACAGGGACGCAUAUUCAAUUCCUGCCAGAGGCC